rnacentral:rRNA from 1 species
AUUGACCGCUGGCGGCAGGCCUAACACAUGCCAGUCGAGCGCGCGGCGGACGGGUGACUAAUGUCUGGGAAACUGCCUGAUGGAGGGCGAUAACUACUGGACACGGUAGCUACUACCGUAUUCCAUCAGAUGUGCCAAGCUGGGUUUAGCUAGGUGGUGGGGCAAUGGCUCACUUCGGUGACGAUCCCUAGCUGGUCUGAGAGGAUGACCAGACAAACUGGAACUGAGACACGGUCCAGACGCCUACGGGAGGCAGCAGUGGGGAAUAUUGCACAAUGGGCGCAAGCCUGAUACAGCCAUGCCGCGUGUGUGAAGAAGGCCUUCGGGUUGUAAAGCACUUUCAGCGAGGAGGCGUUACUCGCAGAAGAAGCACCGGCUAACUCCGUGCCAGCAGCCGCGGUAAUAC